rnacentral:rRNA from 1 species
UGAAGUUAGCGGCGGAGGGAGAGUAACACGUGGGUAACCUGCCCAUAAGACUGGGAUAACUCCGGGAAACCGGGGCUAAUACCGGAUAACAUUUUGAACCGCAUGGUUCGAAAUUGAAAGGCGGCUUCGGCUGUCACUUAUGGAUGGACCCGCGUCGCAUUAGCUAGUUGGUGAGGUAACGGCUCACCAAGGCAACGAUGCGUAGCCGACCUGAGAGGGUGAUCGGCCACACUGGGACUGAGACACGGCCCAGACUCCUACGGGAGGCAGCAGUAGGGAAUCUUCCGCAAUGGACGAAAGUCUGACGGAGCAACGCCGCGUGAGUGAUGAAGGCUUUCGGGUCGUAAAACUCUGUUGUUAGGGAAGAACAAGUGCUAGUUGAAUAAGCUGGCACCUUGACGGUACCUAACCAGAAAGCCACGGCUAACUACGUGCCAGCAGCCGCGGUAAUACGUAGGUGGCAAGCGUUAUCCGGAAUUAUUGGGCGUAAAGCGCGCGCAGGUGGUUUCUUAAGUCUGAUGUGAAAGCCCACGGCUCAACCGUGGAGGGUCAUUGGAAACUGGGAGACUUGAGUGCAGAAGAGGAAAGUGGAAUUCCAUGUGUAGCGGUGAAAUGCGUAG